rnacentral:rRNA from 1 species
AGAGUUUGAUCCUGGCUCAGGAUGAACGCUAGCUACAGGCUUAACACAUGCAAGUCGAGGGGCAGCAUGUUGGUUGCUUGCAACCAAUGAUGGCGACCGGCGCACGGGUGAGUAACGCGUAUCCAACCUACCCUUGUCCAUCGGAUAACCCGUCGAAAGGCGGCCUAACACGAUAGUGCGGUUCACAGCAGGCAUCUAAGGUGAACGAAAUGUGAAGGAGAAGGAUGGGGAUGCGUCUGAUUAGCUUGUUGGCGGGGUAACGGCCACCAAGGCGACGAUCAGUAGGGGUUCUGAGAGGAAGGUCCCCCANAUUGGAACUGAGACACGGUCCAAACUCCUACGGGAGGCA